rnacentral:lncRNA from 1 species
AUAUAUAUAUAUUUAUAUAUAUAUAUAUAUAGUAGGGCUAGAAUACUUGUAAAAGUAUUAUGGGGGUGAUACUUGUGUGUUUUUAGCCCUUGGAUGGAGAGAUGUGAGGUUGAGAUGAUGGUGGUAGGUGGUGGUAGGUGGUGGUAGGUGGAAUAGUAUUUAAUCCAAGGGCUAUUAAUAAUCAAAAAGUAGAUUCAAUGGCUUAAAACCUAAUAGCACAAUGAUGAUGAUACUUGUAAAAGUAUCAUAGCUCAACUCUCUAUAUAUAUAUUCCAUAUAAUCAAUAGUAAAAAUUUAAAAAUUAAAUUAUAAUGUAAAAAAAUGAGAAA